GGUUAAGCGACUAAGCGUACACGGUGGAUGCCCUGGCAGUCAGAGGCGAUGAAGGACGUGCUAAUCUGCGAAAAGCGUCGGUAAGGUGAUAUGAACCGUUACAGCCGGCGAUGUCCGAAUGGGGAAACCCAGUGCAAUUCGUUGCACUAUCGUUAACUGAAUACAUAGGUUAACGAGGCGAACCGGGGGAACUGAAACAUCUAAGUACCCCGAGGAAAAGAAAUCAACCGAGAUUCCCCCAGUAGCGGCGAGCGAACGGGGAGCAGCCCAGAGUCUGAAUCAGCUUGUGUGUUAGUGGAACGGUCUGGAAAGUCCGACGGUACAGGGUGAUAGUCCCGUACACCAAAAUGCACAGGUUGUGAACUCGAAGAGUAGGGCGGGACACGUGGUAUCCUGUCUGAAUAUGGGGGGACCAUCCUCCAAGGCUAAAUACUCCUGACUGACCGAUAGUGAACCAGUACCGUGAGGGAAAGGCGAAAAGAACCCCGGCGAGGGGAGUGAAAAAGAACCUGAAACCGUGUACGUACAAGCAGUGGGAGCACCUUCGGGUGUGACUGCGUACCUUUUGUAUAAUGGGUCAGCGACUUAUAUUCUGUAGCAAGGUUAACCGUAUAGGGGAGCCGCAGGGAAACCGAGUCUUAACUGGGCGUUAAGUUGCAGGGUAUAGACCCGAAACCCGGUGAUCUAGCCAUGGGCAGGUUGAAGGUUGGGUAACACUAACUGGAGGACCGAACCGACUAAUGUUGAAAAAUUAGCGGAUGACUUGUGGCUGGGGGUGAAAGGCCAAUCAAACCGGGAGAUAGCUGGUUCUCCCCGAAAGCUAUUUAGGUAGCGCCUCGUGAACUCAUCUUCGGGGGUAGAGCACUGUUUCGGCUAGGGGGUCAUCCCGACUUACCAACCCGAUGCAAACUACGAAUACCGAAGAAUGUUAUCACGGGAGACACACGGCGGGUGCUAACGUCCGUCGUGAAGAGGGAAACAACCCAGACCGCCAGCUAAGGUCCCAAAGUCAUGGUUAAGUGGGAAACGAUGUGGGAAGGCACAGACAGCCAGGAUGUUGGCUUAGAAGCAGCCAUCAUUUAAAGAAAGCGUAAUAGCUCACUGGUCGAGUCGGCCUGCGCGGAAGAUGUAACGGGGCUAAACCAUGCACCGAAGCUGCGGCAGCGACACUAUGUGUUGUUGGGUAGGGGAGCGUUCUGUAAGCCUGCGAAGGUGUGCUGUGAGGCAUGCUGGAGGUAUCAGAAGUGCGAAUGCUGACAUAAGUAACGAUAAAGCGGGUGAAAAGCCCGCUCGCCGGAAGACCAAGGGUUCCUGUCCAACGUUAAUCGGGGCAGGGUGAGUCGACCCCUAAGGCGAGGCCGAAAGGCGUAGUCGAUGGGAAACAGGUUAAUAUUCCUGUACUUGGUGUUACUGCGAAGGGGGGACGGAGAAGGCUAUGUUAGCCGGGCGACGGUUGUCCCGGUUUAAGCAUGUAGGCUGAUUGUCCAGGCAAAUCCGGAUAAUCAAGGCUGAGGUGUGAUGACGAGGCACUACGGUGCUGAAGUAACAAAUGCCCUGCUUCCAGGAAAAGCCUCUAAGCAUCAGGUAACAUCAAAUCGUACCCCAAACCGACACAGGUGGUCAGGUAGAGAAUACCAAGGCGCUUGAGAGAACUCGGGUGAAGGAACUAGGCAAAAUGGUGCCGUAACUUCGGGAGAAGGCACGCUGGUGUGUAGGUGAAGUCCCUGCGGAUGGAGCUGAGACCAGUCGAAGAUACCAGCUGGCUGCAACUGUUUAUUAAAAACACAGCACUGUGCAAACACGAAAGUGGACGUAUACGGUGUGACGCCUGCCCGGUGCCGGAAGGUUAAUUGAUGGGGUUAUCCGUAAGGAGAAGCUCUUGAUCGAAGCCCCGGUAAACGGCGGCCGUAACUAUAACGGUCCUAAGGUAGCGAAAUUCCUUGUCGGGUAAGUUCCGACCUGCACGAAUGGCGUAAUGAUGGCCAGGCUGUCUCCACCCGAGACUCAGUGAAAUUGAACUCGCUGUGAAGAUGCAGUGUACCCGCGGCAAGACGGAAAGACCCCGUGAACCUUUACUAUAGCUUGACACUGAACAUUGAGCCUUGAUGUGUAGGAUAGGUGGGAGGCUUUGAAGCGUGGACGCCAGUCUGCGUGGAGCCAACCUUGAAAUACCACCCUUUAAUGUUUGAUGUUCUAACGUUGGCCCCUGACCGGGGUUGCGGACAGUGUCUGGUGGGUAGUUUGACUGGGGCGGUCUCCUCCCAAAGCGUAACGGAGGAGCACGAAGGUUAGCUAAUCCUGGUCGGACAUCAGGAGGUUAGUGCAAUGGCAUAAGCUAGCUUGACUGCGAGCGUGACGGCGCGAGCAGGUGCGAAAGCAGGUCAUAGUGAUCCGGUGGUUCUGAAUGGAAGGGCCAUCGCUCAACGGAUAAAAGGUACUCCGGGGAUAACAGGCUGAUACCGCCCAAGAGUUCAUAUCGACGGCGGUGUUUGGCACCUCGAUGUCGGCUCAUCACAUCCUGGGGCUGAAGUAGGUCCCAAGGGUAUGGCUGUUCGCCAUUUAAAGUGGUACGCGAGCUGGGUUUAGAACGUCGUGAGACAGUUCGGUCCCUAUCUGCCGUGGGCGCUGGAGAAUUGAGGGGGGCUGCUCCUAGUACGAGAGGACCGGAGUGGACGCAUCACUGGUGUUCGGGUUGUCAUGCCAAUGGCACUGCCCGGUAGCUAAAUGCGGAAGAGAUAAGUGCUGAAAGCAUCUAAGCACGAAACUUGCCCCGAGAUGAGUUCUCCCUGAGACUUUAAGUCUCCUGAAGGAACGUUGAAGACGACGACGUUGAUAGGCCGGGUGUGUAAGCGCAGCGAUGCGUUGAGCUAACCGGUACUAAUGAACCGUGAGGCUUAACCUU
rnacentral:rRNA from 1 species